CUUACAUGUUUAAGGGUGAUGGGAGUUGGAGGAAGCGUCUCUAGUGGCUGUCUGGUAAAUUACAAUUGAAGGAUUAAACUGACAGGCCACAGCACCCAGACCACUCCAAUGAGGUGAAGUUGUCAGGGUGCCUAUAGUGUCUCUUUAAUUCUAAUUUGUUCCAGAUUAUAAUCCAAACAGCAAAUUUAUGUAAUAGCUAAUGUUGGAAAACCCUCUAGUCAC